CCAGCAGCCGCGGUAAUUCCAGCUCCAAUAGCGUAUAUUAAAGUUGUUGCGGUUAAAAAGCUCGUAGUUGGAUUUCUGCUGAGAACGACCGGUCCGCCCUCUGGGUGUGUACAUGGCACGGCCUGGGCAUCUUCUUGGGGUACGUAUCUGCACUUGACUGUGUGGUGCGGAAUCCAGGACUUUUACUUUGAGGAAAUUAGAGUGUUUCAAGCAGGCACGCGCCUUGAAUACAUUAGCAUGGAAUAAUAAGAUAGGACCUCGGUUCUAUUUUGUUGGUUUCUAGAACUGAAGUAAUGAUUAAUAGGGACAGUCGGGGGCAUUCGUACUUAACUGUCAGAGGUGAAAUUCUUGGAUUUGUUAAAGACGAACUACUGCGAAAGCAUUUGCCAAGGAUGUUUUCA
rnacentral:rRNA from 1 species